ensembl:lncRNA
AGAACGUGAAAUGAAAAGAAAUGUGAAAGGAAAACAGAUCGAAGGGGACUGAGGAUUUAAGGCUGUGAGGAAUAGAAGAAAUACGCGAGUCUGCCCAUCUUUGGAGAGUUGGGGUGAACCUGACUGCCUGGAAUACAGAAAAUGUCAACUGUGUGCCUUUAGGAGGUCCUGGGAAAUCAAGUGAAAUAUUCUGAAUCAAAGUUAAAUGUUCCAAGUUGAGAACAAGAGUUUUCCUGGGAAAUCACCUUAGAUUCAUCUCUGUGAACAGGCGCGUUCAAGAGAGAAACUUGGCUCUCAGCACCAGGCUCCCAUCACGUGGGCAGUAGGGCAACCAGAUGCCAUCCCGAGUGCUGCAUCAGAGCGGGUGAGACUCGGGCAUCAUGGCCCUGGCACAGCCCAGACUCCAUUGUGCCAAGGCUCAUACUGCGUGAUCACGCCGCUUUCUCUUCUGAAGCCUGCUGCAUCCACAGAUUUAGGAACCAGCUUGAUGGAAGGGAGUGGGCACUGGUGAGUUUUGGAGCAUCAAUCGUGCAUGCCAUCUGUAGCUAGCUUUAUAUAGUUCAGGGGAAAGGGACAGAUCAGGAUGAAAUGGUUGGCGUUAUUGACUUCGAUGGGAGGGAGGGGGAUAGGAGGAGUGGGAUGCUAAAAUUGCCGGGGAGAAGGUGAUGGCAGUUCUUUUCUCCACUACUUUGCAACAAAUUAACCUGUAGUUUCUCUGGAGGGCAAAGUAGAGACAGGCGCAUCUGGUAAUCUGAUGGUCACAGGAGAUAAAGGUGCCAGUUUGAACUUGUGGAUUCUGAGACAAUAGAAAAUGUUGCUAUUAUUGCUGGGUAAGAGAGAGAAAGAUAAAGAGGCAGAUGCUACUAUCAGAGGUGAUCAAUUCAGCCUGUCUCCACAGGUACAACACGAAUCCAGGUAGGUGGAGAACCCUUGAGUGGAGGGCUAGUUUCUUCCUCUAGCGUAGGAACAGGGCUGCAAUCUACACUCAUGCCUUUCAAGGGGAUAUAUUUUCUCUUUAAUCUUAGAACCAUUGAGUCUCAGCUCUACGAAUGAAAGUGUUAAUUUUCUGCCACACAGGAGAUACCUACUCUGUCUUUUUGGUGAAGAGGUAGCU